UGGCGACCGGCGCACGGGUGAGUAACACGUAUCCAACCUGCCGAUAACUCGGGGAUAGCCUUUCGAAAGAAAGAUUAAUAUCCGAUAGGAUAUCAAGGUCGCAUGAUCUUGAUAUUAAAGAAUUUCGGUUAUCGAUGGGGAUGCGUUCCAUUAGUUAGUUGGCGGGGUAACGGCCCACCAAGACGACGAUGGAUAGGGGUUCUGAGAGGAAGGUCCCCCACAUUGGAACUGAGACACGGUCCAAACUCCUACGGGAGGCAGCAG
rnacentral:rRNA from 1 species